AAGUAACUAAGAUUUUGUAGUACGCUGGUCGCUACUCGCUGUCCAGACGAAGCCUCAUUGGAUUUAGUUAGCAUAGCGUCUUGGCGCUAAUGUACACUUACCAAAAGGCGAAUAGGUAGUCCUGCGAUUUGCGAAUAUAUACUGAAUAGUGUUCAGUUCGAGUGUCGACUCAUCGACCGUCUUAUAGUCUCAAGAUGUGGUCGUAGUACGCAAUCGUACGCUGUCGUAUGCAGUUGUCCGCUUGUGUGGCCAGGUUACGAUUCAUCAAGCGUCGACAAAUAGGAAGUAUAUACCUAUAGGUAGUUACAAUAUACCGCAGCAGUUGACGAUUGGCAACGACCGUGUCGUGUCUAUAAUAAUACCUAUACUACUUAUAUCAGUAAGAAACUCGAGGGACAGUGACUGCAAUCCUUCACUGCAUAUUAGGCGUAAAAUAACAGAAGAGCAACAAACGGAGCACAAGGUUAGAAGCAGCAGUGGACAUUAAAUGCGCGGCUCAAUCCUCAGCAUCGGGCUCUGCGCUGACUCUGGUACCCCGCCAACCCGCUCGACGCGGGUGAAGCAGCAACAGAAGGAGGCGACGGCGAGUGUGCACGACGACCAUCGCUAUGGAUGCUACCGACGGUUCACCAUGGAACAACUCCAGCGGCUGCGAGGAGGAGCGCAAACCAGCCCAGAAGGAGGUAAAGAAGUCCAACAUCCUGCCCUUGUGGGGGAACGAGCGAACUAUGAACCUCAAUCCAUUGAUUUUGACCAAUAUUCAGUCCUCUCACUACUUCAAAGUCAAUCUGUACGAGCUCAAGACUUACCACGAGGUUAUAGAUGAAAUUUACUACAAGGUUUCACACUUGGAGCCAUGGGAAAAGGGUAGUCGAAAAACGGCUGGUCAAACUGGCAUGUGCGGAGGAGUUCGAGGUGUUGGCGCUGGUGGCAUUGUCUCUACUGCAUACUGCCUACUCUACAAGCUUUUCACAUUGCGAUUGACAAGGAAGCAGCUGAAUGGGUUAAUCAAUCAUCCGGACUCACCGUAUAUUCGGGCCUUAGGUUUUAUGUACAUUAGGUAUACACAACCACCUCCAGAUCUAUUCUCAUGGUAUGACGAUUAUUUGGAGGACGAAGAGGAGUUAGACGUAAAAGCAGGUGGUGGUCAAGUUAUGAAAAUGGGUGACAUACUAAAGCAGUUUUUAACGAAACUGGAGUGGUUCUCAACACUUUUUCCCAGGAUACCAGUGCCUAUUCAAAAGGAAUUAGAGCAACGAUUAGCAGAAAAAUUUCCUCACAAUACAGGGAACUCAAGAGGUUCAAAGCCAUCCAUUACUCUAAAUAAUCAAGGAAAAUACAACAACAGUAGAAAAGAUGACGGCGCUCGAGGUCAGCAACCAAGACACAUUCCAGAUAAUGAAGUGCACUGGGGUGAAGCUGAACGAACGAGCCAGUGGCGUGCCAGGUGCGUCUGCGUGAUCUGAUGAAGAUCGUAAGGACAGGCAGAAAGGCCGAGAUAGCCGGGACAGGGGCAAGGACAAGGAUCGAGACAGAGAACGGGAUAGAGGAAGAGACCGAGAGCGUGAACGUGAUCGAGAUAGAAGUCACAGACGAUCGUCAAGUCGAGAUAAAAGUCGCCGUCCUAGGGAUUAUAGAAGUCGAAGUCGAGAAAGGUCCUACAGAGACCGGAGUAGAGAUCGAUAUCGUGAUCGAGAAAGACACAGACGAAGUUCACCAAUAGAUUAUGCAUCUGAGCUUGCACGAGAAAAAGAACGUCAAAGAAGAGUGUGAAACAAAAUCAAUUAUAAAAUGAAUCUGCUGGGUAUUGAGAGCUAGCAGAUAUGCAGCACAGCAGCAGGUGUAUUAUAUAAAUGAAAUGAAAUGAGAAUUGAAUUUCUCAAUAAAUACUUUUGGCAUUCAAUGCUUCUUACUGGUAUGCAAAUACUAGUAAUAACUCCUUAUCUGCGGAUAAAUAUAAAUUUGGAUACAAAAUUGAAUAUAGAAUUAGCCUAAAGUAAAAAAGAUGGAAUAAAGUGAUAGAGCCAACAUGUAUGUAGUUUGCGUGUUUUUUAAAAUUAAAAACACCAAUACAAGCAUAAAUAAUCAUAUUCACAGUUACUGAUUUUAUUUUUAGAAGCAAUGAUUUUGCUAUUUUGAUAAACAAUUGACUUCUACAAUUCGCAAUCAUGUGGGCGCAGUUUCGAAAAAACGAAUUUUUUAAAUAUCAAGCUAUAUGUGUUAUCUCUGAAAGUAAAGAUUGUUCAAAAUACAAAAAUAGAUUCUAUUGAAAUCAAACUUCA